rnacentral:rRNA from 1 species
UAGCGGGGGGGCAAGCUUGUUCGGAAUUACUGGGCGUAAAGGCUCGUAGGCGGCCAACUAAGUCAGACGUGAAAUCCCUCGGCUUAACCGGGGAACUGCGUCUGAUACUGGAUGGCUUGAGGUUGGGAGAGGGAUGCGGAAUUCCAGGUGUAGCGGUGAAAUGCGUAGAUAUCUGGAGGAACACCGGUGGCGAAGGCGGCAUCCUGGACCAAUUCUGACGCUGAGGAGCGAAAGCC